rnacentral:sRNA from 1 species
GGAGACAGGGUGGAGGCCUUGGUGAUGGGUUGGUGAGAGGGAUGGGAAGGAAGGAGAUAUUGAGGAGAAGUCCACCUGGGGUGACUGACUGAGGCCCCUGGGGUCAGGCCUUGCCAUGUGACGGGUGGAGUCCCCAGUGAAGGGGGUUCCUAUGAUCCUAAUUCUUCUCCCCUCCCCUCCGCUAGGGAGUGCCUGCAGGGCACCAUCCGCAACAGCCAGGAGGCGGAGGUCUCCUGCCCCUUCAUUGACAACACCUACUCCUGCUCGGGCAAGCUGCUGGAGAGGGAGAUCAAGGCGCUCCUGACCCCUGAGGAUUACCAGCGAUUUCUAGACCUGGGCAUCUCCAUUGCUGAAAACCGCAGUGCCUUCAGCUACCAUUGCAAGACCCCAGAUUGCAAGGGAUGGUGCUUCUUUGAGGAUGAUGUCAAUGAGUUCACCUGCCCUGUGUGUUUCCACGUCAACUGCCUGCUCUG